CGGGGUGUAGUAUACCGGCAGUACGCCUGCUUUGGGAGUAGGUAGACUGGGUUCAAUUCCCAGCACCCCGA
rnacentral:tRNA from 3 species